rnacentral:misc_RNA from 1 species
GAUGAAGAACGUAGCGAAAUGCGAUACGUAAUGUGAGUUGCAGAAUUCAGUGAAUCAUCGAAUCUUUGAACGCAUAUUGCGCUCUCUGGUAUUCCGGAGAGCAUGCUUGUUUGAGUAUCAGUAAACACCUCAACUUCCAUAUCUUUUUUGAAAUGGGAGUUGGACUUGAGUGAUCCCAACGCUUUUCCUCACCGAAAAGUGGCGGGUUACUUGAAAUGCAGGUGCAGCUGGACUUUUCUCUGAGCUAUAAGCAUAUCUAUUUAGUCUGCCUAAAAAACAGAUUAUUACCUUUGCUGCAGCUAACAUAAAGGAGAUUAGUUCUUGUGCUGACUGAUGCAGGAUUCACAAAGACAGGCUUCGGCCGACUUUGUAAACUCGAUCUCAAAUCAAGUAAGACUACCCGCUGAACUUAAGCAUAUCAAUAAGCGGAGGA